UGGCGAUGAUGAAACAAAGGCCGGACUUACGGCUGCUUCCGGCAAGGUCGGUAGUAGAUUGAUGAGACUCUUAACGAAAAGGUGUUGUUUGCUGAGCCGC